UCAUUGUUGCGAUAGUAAUCCUGCUUAGUACGAGAGGAACCGCAGGUUCAGACAUUUGGUUCAUGUGCUUGGCCGAUCGGCCAAUGGUGCGAAGCUACCAUCUGAGGGAUUAUGACUGAACGCCUCUAAGUCAGAAUCCCGCCUAGUCAAGGCAACGAUAAAUUUGCUCCCCGGUGUCGGGAGGCACUUCUAUGCAACUUUUGUUACAGCUAAUGCCCCAUUAGAUGGCCUUGCCAAGCUGCUGAAAGGUAGCUUGGUUGCCAAAGCCGGACUACACGGUGCAACGUCGGGGCGCAAAAUCACUUGCAGACGACUUGAUUACUGGUCAAGGUGUUGUAUCCAGUAGAGCAGCCUCCAUACUGCGAUCUGUUGAGACUUAUCCUUUGAUUGGACGAUUU
rnacentral:ncRNA from 1 species